rnacentral:tRNA from 1 species
GUCCAGGGAUGGGAAUCGAACCCACAGUGUACCGCUUCACGGGCAGAUGCCAUGUCCACUAGGUUACCCUGAA